UACGUAGGGAGCGAGCGUUGUCCGGAUUUACUGGGUGUAAAGGGUGCGCAGGCGGCUCUGCAAGUCAGGCGUGAAAGCUAGGGGCUCAACCCCUAAACUGCGCUUGAAACUGUGGAGCUUGAGUGAAGUAGAGGCAGGCGGAAUUCCCGGUGUAGCGGUGAAAUGCUUAGAUAUCACGAAGAACUCCGAUUGCGAAGGCAGCCUGCUGGACUGUAACUGACGCUGAUGCUCGAAAGUGUGGGUAUCAAACAGG
rnacentral:rRNA from 1 species